rnacentral:rRNA from 1 species
AUUGAACGCUGGCGGCAGGCCUAACACAUGCAAGUCGAGCGGGGUUUUCGGACCUAGCGGCGGACGGGUGAGUAAUGCGUAGGAAGCUACCCGAUAGAGGGGGAUACCAGUUGGAAACGACUGUUAAUACCGCAUAAUGUCUACGGACCAAAGUGUGGGACCUCCGGGCCACAUGCUAUCGGAUGCGCCUACGUGGGAUUAGCUAGUUGGUGAGGUAAUGGCUCACCAAGGCGACGAUCCCUAGCUGGUUUGAGAGGAUGAUCAGCCACACUGGAACUGAGACACGGUCCAGACUCCUACGGGAGGCAGCAGUGGGGAAUAUUGGACAAUGGGCGCAAGCCUGAUCCAGCCAUGCCGCGUGUGUGAAGAAGGCCUUCGGGUUGUAAAGCACUUUCAGUAGGGAGGAAGCGUUGUGUGUUAAUAGUACACAGCGUUGACGUUACCUACAGAAGAAGCACCGGCUAACUCUGUGCCAGCCGCCGCCGUAACAC